rnacentral:rRNA from 1 species
UACGUAGGGGGCAAGCGUUGUCCGGAUUUAUUGGGCGUAAAGAGCGUGUAGGCGGCCAUACAGGUCAGCUGUGAAAACUCGAGGCUCAACCUCGAGACGUCGGUUGAAACCGUAUGGCUAGAGUCCGGAAGAGGAGAGUGGAAUUCCCGGUGUAGCGGUGAAAUGCGCAGAUAUCAGGAGGAACGCCGGUGGCGAAGGCGAGUCUCUGGGCCGUUACUGACGCUGAUGCACGAAAGCUGGGGGAGCAAACAGG